CCUACGGGAGGCUGCAGUGGGGAAUAUUGGACAAUGGGGGGAACCCUGAUCCAGCGACGCCGCGUGAGUGAAGAAGUAUUUCGGUAUGUAAAGCUCUAUCAGCAGUGAAGAAAGAAAUGACGGUAUCUGACUAAGAAGCGCCGGCUAACUACGUGCCAGCAGCCGCGGUAAUACGUAGGGGGCAAGCGUUAUCCGGAUUUACUGGGUGUAAAGGGAGCGUAGACGGCGAUGCAAGUCUGAAGUGAAAGGCGGGGGUCCAACCCCCGGACUGCUUUGGAGACUGUGUGGCUGGAGUGCAGGAGAGGAAAGUGGAAUACCUAGUGUAGAGGUGAAAUGCGUAGAUAUUAGGUGGAACACCAGUGGCGAAGGCGGCUUACUGGACUUUAACUGACGUUGAGGCUCGAAAGCAUGGGGAGCAAACAGGAUUAGAUACCCUUGUAGUC
rnacentral:rRNA from 1 species